CCCCAGGCCGCCCCCAGAUGGUGGAGUCUCUCCCAGCCCGAAGAUUCGGAGCCAGCGCCCAGACCCGAGCCUCACUCACUGCUCACUCCCGGGGUGCAGGGCAGAGGUGCCAGUGUUGCAAGCAAAUGACACGGUUACCCCCGAAUCAGCCACUGUGGAGUUUUGCUCUUUUUGCCCAGGCUGCAAUGGCGUGAUCUUGGCUCACCGCAACCUCCGCCUCCCGGAUUCAAGCGAUUCUCCUGCCUCAGCCUCCCAAGUAGCUGGAAUUACAGAUAAAUGUUUCAGAAUGCUGCCACCAACCAUCCUGCAACCAUGAGUGGCAAGCCCAAGACCAAAAACCAAAUAUUGAGGAUGGCAAAGAAAAAAGAAAGAGACUGGACUGUUGGGGACAUCACUGAGCCACUUUGCCAAACCUGGAGUUGCCUACCUUCAAAAGUUUUGUUAUAUGACAUAAUUAAUCUUUACUGCUUUGCCACUUCUGGUGGAAUAUUUUAUUACUAUCACCAGAAGCAUUUCUUGGCUUCAAUAACACACAUACUCCAGUGUCACCUGCUUCAAGAGCACUCUACUCAUAAUUCUGACUAAUGUACAUUUCCACAUGUCUGACCCAAAGGAGGAAGAGGCAGAGCAAGACGGCUCAAUAGAAGCCUCCACUAAUUGUCCUCCCCACUGGAACACCAAAUUGAACAACUAUCCACACAAAGAAGCACCUUCGUAAGAACCAAAAAUCAGGUGCCAGACAGAAAGUCAUCUCUCUGCUCAACUGAGACAAAUGCAGAUUCAUUGAGCCAGACUAAGGCAUAAGUGACUAUUCCUCUAUGUUCCCCAACAUGUAAAUUGUGGAUUCAGUGAAAGGCUGAUUGAAGAGUCAGAAGAAUGUAACUUUUUGUCUCUUAUCUACCUGGAACCACACCUUAUCUACCUGGAACUGUCCCCUCCCCGCCCCCCCAAUCCCGCCCUGUUUUGAGUUGUCCUGCCUUUCUGGACCAAAUCAAUGCACAUCUUACACAUAUUGAUUGAUGUCUCAUAUCUCCCUAAAAUGUGUAAAAGUGAGCUGUACCCUGACCACCUUGAGCACAUGUUGCCAGGACACAGCCUCCUGAGGGUACAUCUUUAACCUUGGCAAAAUAAACUUUCUAAAUUGAUUAAGGCCUGUCUCAGACACUUUGAGUUGACAAUACACAAAAACUAAAAAGGAAGAAAUUAAAAGAUACCACCAGAGAAAAUCGCAUUCACUAAAAGGAAGACCACAAAACAACCAGAAAACAAAUAACAAAAUGGCAGGCAUAAGUCCUUACUUAUCAAAAAUAGCAUUGAAUGUAAAUGAAAUAAACUCUCCAAUCAAAAGACAUACCAUGGCUGAAUGGAUUUAAAAACAAGACCCAAUGAUCUUUUGCCUACAAGAAACACAUUUCACCUAUAAAUAUAUGUAUAGACUAAAAAUAAAGGGAUGGAAAAAUAUAUUCCCUGCAAGUGGAAACCAAAAAUGAGUAGGAAUAGCUAUACUUACAUCAGAUAAAAUAGAUUUCAAGACAAAUGCUACCAUGCCCAGUUAAAUGUUUUUUUUUUUUAAAGUGUUUGUAGAGACAGGGGUCUUGCUAAGUUGCCCAGGCUGGUCUUGAACUCCCGGUCUCAAGCCAUCUUCCUGCAUCAGCCUCCCAAAGUGCUAUAGGCAUGAGCUACUGGGCCUGCACUGUUUUUCUUUUAAUAUUUUAGAGACAUUGUUCUACUAUCUGCUGGCUUGCAUUGUUUACACUGAGAAUCUUCUGUAAUUCUUAUGUUUGUCCCUCUGUAUGUAAUAUGCCUUUUUUCUCCUGCAUUUUUAACAUUUUCUCUUUGCCACUAA
rnacentral:lncRNA from 1 species